UCAGUGUGGUGGCAUGCACCUGUACUUCCAGCUACUCUGGAGGAUGAGGAAGAAGGAUGGCUUUAGCCCAUCCUUUAGCUGACUGGGUCUCUGCACUAAGUUCAGCAUCAAUAUAGUGACCUCCCAGGAGUGGGGGACAACCAUGUUGUCUAAGGAGGGUGAACCAGCCCAGGUCAGAAAUGCAUCAGGUCAAAACUCCCUUACUGAUCACUAAUGGGAUUGUACCUGUGAAUAGCCACUGUACUCCAGCCUGGGCAACAUAGCCAGAUCCCAUCUCU
rnacentral:SRP_RNA from 1 species